rnacentral:rRNA from 1 species
GUGUGGAAUAUUGGACAAUGGGGGGAACCCUGAUCCAGCCAUGCCGCGUGUGUGAAGAAGGCCUUUUGGUUGUAAAGCACUUUAAGCGAGGAGGAGGCUACCGAGAUUAAUACUCUUGGAUAGUGGACGUUACUCGCAGAAUAAGCACCGGCUAACUCUGUGCCAGCAGCCGCGGUAAUACAGAGGGUGCAAGCGUUAAUCGGAUUUACUGGGCGUAAAGCGCGCGUAGGUGGCCAAUUAAGUCAAAUGUGAAAUCCCCGAGCUUAACUUGGGAAUUGCAUUCGAUACUGGUUGGCUAGAGUAUGGGAGAGGAUGGUAGAAUUCCAGGUGUAGCGGUGAAAUGCGUAGAGAUCUGGAGGAAUACCGAUGGCGAAGGCAGCCAUCUGGCCUAAUACUGACACUGAGGUGCGAAAGCAUGGGGAGCAAACAGGAUUAGAUACCCGAGUAGUCC